GCAUAUCAAUAAGCGGAGGAAAAGAAACCAACAGGGAUUGCCUCAGUAACGGCGAGUGAAGCGGCAACAGCUCAAAUUUGAAAUCUGGCGCAAGCCCGAGUUGUAAUUUGCAGAGGAUGUUUCGGGUGAAGCCACGGUCCAAGUCCCUUGGAACAGGACGUCAUAGAGGGUGAGAACCCCGUACCUGGCCGUCGGUGCCCCCCGCUGUGAAACUCCUUCGACGAGUCGAGUUGUUUGGGAAUGCAGCUCUAAAUUGGUGGUAAAUUCCAUCUAAAGCUAAAUACCGGCCAGAGACCGAUAGCGCACAAGUAGAGUGAUCGAAAGAUGAAAAGCACUUUGAAAAGAGAGUUAAAAAGUACGUGAAAUUGUUGAAAGGGAAGCGCUUGCGGCCAGACUUGCCCGCGGUUGCUCAGCCCGCCUUUUGGCGGGUGCACUCUUCCGCGGUCAGGCCAGCAUCGGUUUGGGCGGCCGGAUAAAGGCGCCGGGAACGUGGCCUCCCCUCGGGGAGGUGUUAUAGCCCGGCGUGCAAUGCGGCCAGCCCGGACCGAGGUUCGCGCUCUGCUAGGAUGCUGGCGUAAUGGCCGUAAGCGGCCCGUCUUGAAACACGGACCAAGGAGUCUAACAUCUAUGCGAGUGUUUGGGUGUCAAACCCGUGCGCGUAAUGAAAGUGAACGGAGGUGGGAACCGCAAGGUGCACCAUCGACCGAUCCUGAUGUCUUCGGAAGGAUUUGAGUAAGAGCAUAGCUGUUGGGACCCGAAAGAUGGUGAACUAUGCGUGAAUAGGGUGAAGCCAGAGGAAACUCUGGUGGAGGCUCGCAGCGGUUCUGACGUGCAAAUCGAUCGUCAAAUUUGCGUAUAGGGGCGAAAGACUAAUCGAACCAUUUAGUAGCUGGUUCCUGCCGA
rnacentral:rRNA from 1 species